UACGGGGGGAGCAAGCGUUGUUCGGAUUUACUGGGCGUAAAGGGCGCGUAGGCGGGAGUGGCAAGUCGGUCGUGAAAUCCCUCGGCUCAACCGAGGAACGUCGAUCGAUGACUGCUGUUCUUGGGGAUUGCAGAGGAGACCGGAAUUCCCGGUGUAGCGGUGAAAUGUGUAGAGAGUCGGGAGGAACACCGGGUGGCGAAG
rnacentral:rRNA from 1 species